rnacentral:rRNA from 1 species
UGCGCAGGCGGUUGAUGUAAGACAGAUGUGAAAUCCCCGGGCUCAACCUGGGACCUGCAUUUGUGACUGCAUCGCUAGAGUACGGCAGAGGGGGAUGGAAUUCCGCGUGUAGCAGUGAAAUGCGUAGAUAUGCGGAGGAACACCGAUGGCGAAGGCAAUCCCCUGGGCCUGUACUGACGCUCAUGCCACGAAAGCGUGGGGAGCAAACAGGAUUAGAUACCCUGGUAGUCCACGCCCUAAACGAUGUCAACUGGUUGUUGGGUCUUCACUGACUCAGUAACGAAGCUAACGCGUGAAGUUGACCGCCUGGGGAGUACGGCCGCAAGGUUGAA